UUUUAAUAUGUCUGAUCAAAUCCUUUUUUUUCUUUUGAUAUUUAUUACAUUACUUUUAAGGUUAGUCAUUCCUUCUGUUUCUUAAUCACAUAUAAACAUGAUCUGUAUAUAUGCACACAUAGAGAGAGGUGUUUACUUAUAUAAAUAUAAUUGAUUAUAUAGUGUAUAUACAAAUAGAUACAUAUAUAGAGUUUCUCCUACCUUCUUAAAGGUUUUUGUUUGUUUGUUUGUUUAGUUAGCAUCUGAACUUUAUUAUGGGCCAAAGUAAGAAACCAAUUUUUUUCACUUCAAGUAUUUAACCAGUUUUUUCAGUGGUUUUUAUUACCUAAUUCUGCAUUCUUCCUCUGACAUGAUGCCAUCACAUAUGGUAUUCUUAUACUUAAUAGGGUUUUUUGUGGGUUAGCUGCUGCUUUGUUCUUUUUUCUGCAAGUGUCUGUAGUAGUUAUUAAUGAUAUUCACCAAAAUGUCUGGCUUGUUGGCUUCUGGGAAUGUGGUUAUAUUGCAUUACCUUGCCUUCCUAGGGUUGUAUGAAGUCAUGUGGCUGGCUCUGGUCAUGGAAAUAUGAGCAGAUGUGAUGUGAGUCUUUUCCCAGGUAGGCUUUACCUGUCUGUAGGAAACCACUCAGAACUCUUCUCCUCCACCAGUGACCCCAUCAGCUGGAGUAAGGAGAAGUGGAGCAGUGUCCCCAGUCAACUUGUAAUGGACAUGAAUCAGAAAUAAGAUGUAAACUUCAUGUCAUCUGCAAAAACAAUAUCUUUGCUCCUCUCAAGUUCUGACUGAGGCUAGAACAUCCAGAAUAAUCCAGAUUUUGCUGUUCAUCUCAAAACAAGUAGAAGUGCCAAGAUUCAUAUCCAUGGACUUUGGUGCCAGAACACAUGUUUGAAACCACUAUACAAGAUUUUAAUACAGUAAAAAAGCAUGCUUCUCUUUCCAGAUUACUAAGAACUGGGUGCUGAAUUCAAUCAAAUUCUCUUUUGGCAUCUAUUAAAAUGAUUGUAUGUUUUUUUCCUUGAUUUAUUGAUAUAACAUUUUGUCUUAGAUGUUACCAAUAUUAAACCAUUCUUUAUUUCCUGAUAUAAGUAAUAUUUGGAAUGAUAUAAUAUUUGGUUUUUAUAUUUAAUGUGUUGCUGGUUUCAAUUUGUUAUUAUUAUUUUUUAAUUUAGAAAAUGUUUGCAUCUAUAUUCAUAUGUGAGAUUGGGCUAUUUCUUUGUUAUCUUUGUCAUAUUUCACUGUGCUAUAAAAUGGAUCAGAAAGCUUUCAAGUUUUUUCUAACUUUGGAAAACUUAUUAGUGUGGAACUAAUUUGGCCCCAUGGAAGUGUGAAAAUAUUUACAAUAAGACAGUCUACCCCUGGAGAGUUUUUCAAAGGCAACUCUGAUAGUUUUUGAAAUGUUUUAAAUCGAUUUUGACCAAUUAUAUUUUCUUAGAAACUAUCUAUUUUAUUAAGAUUUUUCAGGAAACUUUACUUAAUAUUGAAAUUUAUAAAAUACAGCUAUAUAUUUUUAAUUUGAUGACCAUGAUAAAUAUGUAUUAAUUUUAGAACAUUUGAAAAGUAUACAAAAGUAAAUUUGAAAAAUAAAAAUCAUAUGAAUUCUAAGUUCCUUUUAAUAUUUCAGUCUAUUAACUAUCUAUUUGGCUAGCUGGCUCACUGUUUUGCUUAAUAAGACACGAAGAACUUUCUGUCAUCAGUUACCAAAUAUGUAAUUUUAAUGACUGCAUAAUAUUCUAUUAUAUACAUGUGCCAUAGUUUAUUUUUUCAAUCUAUUGUUAGACAUGCAAGUUACUUCUAUUUUUUUCUAACAAAUAAUGCUAGGAUAUAUAGUUUGUAAAUAUACAUAUGUGUACAUAUGUGAUUAUUGCCCCAAUGUAUAUUUUUUAGAAAUAUAAUUAAGUGAAAGGUUAUAGAUAUUUGAAAUCUUUUUGGUUCUACACUCCAAGUUCCUCCUAGAAAAUUUAAAGCAAUUUACAGAUCUAUAAACAGCAUAUGGGAUGGUCAGCUUGCCUGCUCGCUCAGCAGCUCAGACUACUACAUUUUAAAUAUUUGCAUCAUGGUUUGUGUUUUUAUUUUUUCAUUAUUAUUGAAAUUAAGCAUUUUUUUCUUAUAUGUAUUGGGCAUUUAGAGUUUUUAUUUUCUGAGUUGUCUACCCAUAUUUCUUUCCCAUUUUCUGAUGGGUGUUUAUAUUUUUCUUAUGAAUUUAGAAGAUUUGUUUUAUUGUUCUGUUCUCACACUGCUAUAAAGAAAUACCUAAGACUGGGUAAUUUAUUUAAAAAAAGAGGUUUAAUUGGCUCACGGUUCUGCAGGCUGUACAGGAAAGUUAGCAGCAUCUGCUUCUGAGGAGGUCUCAGGAAACUUACAAUCAUGGCAGAAGGCAAAGAGGAAGCAGGCAUGUCUUACAUGGCCAGAGCAAGAGAAAGAGAGAGAAAAGAGGGAGGUACUAGGCAUUUUUAAACAAGUAGAUGUCAUGAAAACUCUAUCACGAGAACAGCACCAAAGGGAUGGUGCUAACUCAUUCAGGAAGGAUGCACUCCUAUGAGCCAACGACCUCCCACCAGGCUGCAACUUCAACACUGGGGACUGCAAUUCAACAUGAGGCUUAAGUGAGGACACAGAUCCAAACCAUAUCAUUUGUCAACUGUGGAUAUUAAAAGUAUUUUUCCUAGGUUGUCAUAUACUUCUGAUUUUUAAUUUUGUGGAAGUGCAAAAACGUUUCUUUUCUAUGUAGUCUAUUAUUUUUUCCUUUAUGCCUUCCUCCUUUAUUUCUAUACAUAGAGGACUUCAUUAUUUCAUUUUAAAAGUUCUUAUCUUUUAUUAUAUUCUCUUUCUCAUUCUAGUUUUAUUUGAGUUUAAUCUUGCUUUCUUUUUUAUUGUUAGAUGUGCUGGAGUACAAUAUGUUUUCUCAUAGCUUUAAAGAGUCAGCUCAUACAUUUAUAUUAUGCUUCUCUUUGUUAAUUCAAUCCCUUUUUGUUUUUAUCAAUUUAAUUUUUAUCCAGCUUUCUUUAGGCUUGCUGUAUUUGUUGUGCAUUUAUUAAUUUCUUGAAGGCAAAUUUUAAUUCAUUUAUUUUUUCUCUUUCUUUUUAAAUAAUGAAACAAUUUAUUGCUUUACAUUUCUUUGCUCUGAAGAAAUGUAGUUUUGGCAACAGCUCAUAGGCUUUAAGGAAGCAUUGUUUUGUUCUUUUAUUAUUUUCUAAAUAGUCUGCAACUCAGGUUUUUAUUUCCCUUUUGACUCAAUAACUACUUAUGAGAACUUUUUUUUACUUAUUUAUUUACUAUCCAAGUUUCUAUCAUUUUCUUUGUGGUUGUUGGAAAUGUUUCCAUUUAUUUUAGUUCUAUCAGAAAACUUGCCCUAUAAACUUUUUUUUUAAUUAAGGUUUUCUUGAUGAUGUAGUACAUAGUAAGCUUUUGAAAAUGUUCUCCUAAUACUUGAAAAAGUAUGUAUAGGGAACAAAGUUGGAAAUACUACAUAUCUUUUGUCUUAUUAACUGUAUUAUUCAAAUGUUCUCAGUUUACUUGAUGUAUUGAAGGCAUCCAAGGUUUGUUAACCUUCUCACAAUUACAUCUCUGUCUAACUCUCCUUACAUUUCAAAAAAAUUUAAAUGUUUUGAAUUUUCAUAAAGGUCUAUUUUAUCUUCAUUGAAGAUGUUACUUCUAUCAUAAUAAAAUGACUCUUAAAU
rnacentral:lncRNA from 10 species